rnacentral:lncRNA from 1 species
AUGCGGCUCAGCCCGACACAGAGUACAAAACUUGAACAACUAGCAAAAGAAUUCGGAAGAGAACGGGCUCGAGCUGGCUUCAACCCACGUAUUCCUUCCUGGCGACUGGGGACGCCCAACAUCGUGACGGGAGAAGACACCACAGGAGGGACUCAUCUGACUAUGUGCACACUCAAUGAUGUGUACACUCAGGUAUACCUAUGCUGUAGAGGUCUACAAUUAAAUGAUGCAACUCGCAGUCCUAAUGUCUACUGUGUAACUUGGUCAGAAACAAAUUAAAAGGCUGAAAAUAACAGUGUGGCUUCCCUGCCUUUGAUAAGAAGCUUUGAGCUGAUGGGAAGGGGACAAGAAAUAGCGUUUUCCUGAAAGCGCUUGUAGGGUUUGUACUGCAUUACAGCCAAGGUGGGAGGAGAUCUGUACAUGUUCUUAAACCCUGUCUAGUUUCUCUCUUCUACUAAUUUUCCUCAUACACAGAGCAAUCACAUGCCUGCUUCUUACUUCAUUGGACAAGUAAAUAAAAGACAUGUCAUGAGGCA